rnacentral:misc_RNA from 1 species
GAAAUGCGAUAAGUAGUGUGAAUUGCAGAAUUCAGUGAAUCAUCGAAUCUUUGAACGCACAUUGCGCCCCUCGGUAUUCCGUGGGGCAUGCCUGUUCGAGCGUCAUCUACACCCUCAAGCCCGGCUUGUGUGUUGGGCCCUCGUCCCCCGGCUCCCGGGGGACGGGCCCGAAAGGCAGCGGCGGCACCGCGUCCGGUCCUCGAGCGUAUGGGGCUUCGUCUUCCGCUCCGUAGGCCCGGCCGGCGCCCGCCGACGCAUUUAUUUGCAACUUGUUUUUUUCCAGGUUGACCUCGGAUCAGGUAGGGAUACCCGCUGAACUUAAGC